CGAAGCUAUCCAGACUGCGGACCCGAGUCUCCACAGCAUAAAACUCAGCGCCACCCUGGUCGACAUCAUCCUCACUUCGGUUUACCAGAAUUUAGCUGACAAGGAAUCUUUCUUCACAGCAACCAUCAUGACAGCCCGUCAGAAAACUCCCUGUCCACAGCCAAUGCCAGCCUAU